rnacentral:rRNA from 1 species
GAUGAACGCUGGCGGCGUGCCUAAUACAUGCAAGUCGAGCGAACGGACGAGAAGCUUGCUUCUCUGAUGUUAGCGGCGGACGGGUGAGUAACACGUGGAUAACCUACCUAUAAGACUGGGAUAACUUCGGGAAACCGGAGCUAAUACCGGAUAAUAUUUUGAACCGCAUGGUUCAAAAGUGAAAGACGGUCUUGCUGUCACUUAUAGAUGGAUCCGCGCUGCAUUAGCUAGUUGGUAAGGUAACGGCUUACCAAGGCAACGAUGCAUAGCCGACCUGAGAGGGGGACGGGCCAACCGGAAACGGAAACCGGGCCCAGACCCCUACGGGGGGCAACGGUGGGAAAUCUUCCGCAAUGGGCGAAAGCCGGAGGGGGCAACCCCGCGGGGGUGAUGAAGGGUUUCGGAUCGUAAACCUCUGUUAUUGGGGAAAAAAAUAUGUGUAAGUAACGGUGCACAUCUUGACGGUACCAAAUCAGAAAGCCAGGGCUAAAUACGU